UACGUAGGGUGCAAGCGUUGUCCGGAAUUAUUGGGCGUAAAGAGCUCGUAGGCGGUCUGUCGCGUCUGCUGUGAAAACUCAGGGCUUAACCCUGAGCUUGCAGUGGGUACGGGCAGACUAGAGUGCGGUAGGGGAGACUGGAAUUCCUGGUGUAGCGGUGAAAUGCGCAGAUAUCAGGAGGAACACCGGUGGCGAAGGCAGCUCGCUGGGACGUGACUGACGCUGAGACGCGAAAGCGUGGGGAGCGAACAGG
rnacentral:rRNA from 1 species